rnacentral:lncRNA from 1 species
UCAAACAGGACCUUUUCUUGCAGGAUCUACGGCCUGAAGAGAAUGAAACCACUGAAAAAUGAAAUAGAAUUCUCCAAGGGACUCUACUCCACGGAAAGAAUGUUGCUACUGGAAAACUUCUACAGAGCUGCGUGACUUUAUCGUCUUUUAAGAUUCAUCAGCAUUCAGCGGAGAACCAGACAGAGAAAAAACGUGGUAUGAUCUGCGACAUCAAGGCAAAGGGCCCAAAAGUUGUUCUGGCCCAGGGAAGGGGUCCCAGAGUCAGACUGGCCAGCUUUUACCACGGCUAAUGGUCCAGCAUGCCGGCCAGAGCCCCCGCCUCCUUGGGGCACCUUGAGAAGACUAGGCAACAGUGGCUGCACCAGUUCGCAUCCCCACCAGCAGUGCCCUAGGGUUCUCUUUUCUCCACGUCCUCGCCGCACUUGGUUCCAGUUGUCCUCUUGAUGACAGCCACUCGAAGAGGUGUGAGGUGAUGUCUCACCGCGGUUUUGGUUUGCAUUUCGCUGAUGAUUAGUGAUGCUGAGCACCUUUUCAGGUACCUGUUGGCCAUCCAUGUGUCUUUGUUGGAAAACGUCUAUUCAGGUCCCUUGCCUGCUUUUUAAUCAGGCUGUUUGUGUUUUUGUUAUUGAGUUGCAUGAGUCCCUUAUAUAUUUGGGAUAUAUGUUGGGAUAUUAAUCCCUUAUUAGAUGUGUGGCUUGCAAAUCUUUUCUCCCAUUCACAGGUUGCCUUUUCAUUUUGUUGACUGUUUCCUUCACAGUACAGAAGCUUUUAGUCUGAUGUAAU